rnacentral:lncRNA from 1 species
AAAAUAAUACUAAUAAUAAAAAUACGAACUAAAAAUAAUACGAGUAAACAAGUUAUCACAAACAGAUUUCACUAUGACUAAGAAAAUAAAAAAAUGACAAUAAUUAUAAUAAUCAUCAAAACAAUAACACAAAUAAUAAUAGUAAAAAUAAACUAUAACCCAAACAGACACUACUAAAAUAAGAAUAACAGGAAUAAUAAAA